rnacentral:rRNA from 1 species
GCAUGGUUGUCGUCAGCUCGUGCCGUGAGGUGUCGGGUUAAGUCCAUAACGAGCGCAACCCCUACCUUUAGUUGCCAUCAGGUUAAGCUGGGGACUCUAAAGGAACUGCCUACGCAAGUAGUGAGGAAGGCGGGAAUGACGUCAAAUCAGCACGGCCCUUACGUCCAGGGCUACACACGUGCUACAAUGGCCGAUACAGAGGGCAGCUACCUGGUGACAGGAUGCAAAUCUCCAAAGUCGGUCUCAGUUCGGAUCGGAGUCUGCAACCCGACUCCGUGAAGUUGGAUUCGCUAGUAAUCGCGCAUCAGCCAUGGCGCGGUGAAUACGUCCCCGGGCCUU